AUUGAACGCUGGCGGCAUGCCUUACACAUGCAAGUCGAACGGUAACAGGUCUUCGGAUGCUGACGAGUGGCGAACGGGUGAGUAAUACAUCGGAACGUGCCCGAUCGUGGGGGAUAACGGAGCGAAAGCUUUGCUAAUACCGCAUACGAUCUACGGAUGAAAGCAGGGGACCGCAAGGCCUUGCGCGGACGGAGCGGCCGAUGGCAGAUUAGGUAGUUGGUGGGAUAAAAGCUUACCAAGCCGACGAUCUGUAGCUGGUCUGAGAGGACGACCAGCCACACUGGGACUGAGACACGGCCCAGACUCCUACGGGAGGCAGCAGUGGGGAAUUUUGGACAAUGGGCGAAAGCCUGAUCCAGCCAUGCCGCGUGCAGGAUGAAGGCCUUCGGGUUGUAAACUGCUUUUGUACGGAACGAAAGACUCCUUCUAAUAAAGGGGGUUCAGUGUACGGUACCGUAAGAAUAAGCACCGGCUAACUACGUGCCAGCAGCCGCGGUAAG
rnacentral:rRNA from 1 species